rnacentral:misc_RNA from 1 species
GAUGAAGAACGCAGUGAAAUGCGAUAAGUAAUGUGAAUUGCAGAAUUCAGUGAAUCAUCGAAUCUUUGAACGCAUCUUGCGCUCCUUGGUAUUCUGAGGAGCACGCCUGUUUGAGUGUCAUUAAAUUCUCAACUACACUGACUUUGAAUUGGUGUGGCUUGGAUUUGGGGGGAAAAUUGUUAUGGGCUUUUUGUAUAGUCUGCUCCCCUGAAAUUGAUUAGCGGUACCUUUGUGGAACUGUCUACAGGUGUGAUAAUUAUCUACAUCUUAGACAUCUGCUGGAAUGCUGCUUUCUAAACCUUACUUGUAUUGACAAUCUUGACCUCAAAUCAGGUAGGACUACCCGCUGAACUUAAGCAUAUCAAUAAGCGGAGGA